CGAAAAGCCACUGUCUGGAAGCGCCAUUUUAAGCUGGAUAAGCUGGGCUGCGGACGGUUUUCCGAGUGGGGUGAGAGUUUCCCAGAGUACCAGAGAGCGGUGCGUCACAAGGUUUUCUGCCCGCGCCUUGAGGUUUUACUGGUAUGUGCAAAGUUGGUAAGAGCAUGCUGUCCAUGUUAAAUAUCUGUUCAGUUGUUAGUUGUGUGCUAACAAGGAUAUUUCUGUUUCAGUGUGCCAUUACCGUAUUAUUUUCAGUGCAAAACUGCCGUUUCCUUUUAUUUCGGUGUACUCGGUUAUGUGAGGUCUGCCUCACAGGGUUUUCCGUGUGUUUUAUUUUACUUUUAUACUGUACCAGUCCCACCUGAGUGUGGAGUUUUAUUUCUUUUCUGUAAGAGAAUCCUCUGUAAGG